UCAGGUCGGGGAUAACUCCUGGAAACGGGAGCUAAUACCGGAUGUGCCGAAAGGUGAAAGGUUUACUGCCUGGGGAGGAGCUCGCGUCUGAUUAGCUAGUUGGUGGGGUAAAAGCCUACCAAGGCGACGAUCAGUAGCUGGUCUGAGAGGAUGAGCAGCCACACUGGGACUGAGACACGGCCCAGACUCCUACGGGAGGCAGCAGUGGGGAAUUUUCCGCAAUGGGCGAAAGCCUGACGGAGCAAGACCGCGUGGGGGAGGAAGGCCUUUGGGUUGUAAACCCCUUUUGUCAGGGAAGAAGACAGUGACGGUACCUGACGAAUCAGCCUCGGCUAACUCCGUGCCAGCAGCCGCGGUAAUACGGAGGAGGCAAGCGUUAUCCGGAAUAAUUGGGCGUAAAGCGUCCGUAGGUGGCCCGGCAAGUCGGUUGUCAAAGACCUCAGCUCAACUGAGGAAAGGCAAGGGAAACUGCAAGGCUAGAGUGCGGUAGGGGUAGAGGGAAUUCCCAGUGUAGCGGUGAAAUGCGUAGAGAUUGGGAAGAACACCGGUGGCGAAAGCGCUCUACUGGGCCGCAACUGACACUCUUGGACGAAAGCUAGGGGAGCG
rnacentral:rRNA from 1 species